CGUUCUUCCUCGAACAUGACCCCUAAUUUCUACGGUACCUCAGAGGCCACCCCUGCCUUGACUUAGCCAAAAUUUUCUCCAAAGAAUUACAACGUGUCUGGCACGUUGUAAAUGCUCGGAAGGUAGCAUCAUUAUCAGGUACUGUUCAAGGCAAAGUGAGAAUGACAUGGUUUCGAUAACGUUACAGAGAAAUCGUUUUCAUUCUUCUGGUCUUGCCACAUGUGGACCUCUGGCUGCUCUGAAAAAAUCAACCAAUGAAUCCUAUUCGAAAGGCACACCUGUGUCAGUGGUUAUUUUCUCUACACCCACAACAUCUGUCAGGCUCAGGUUUUUCAUCCCUGCUGUGAAAAGUUCAAGUCCGGAAAAUGGAAAUGAGCUUUUCUAGUUAGUGUGCUACUUUUGCACAAGUACACGAUUGGGAUAUAGUGAACAACAGAAGGAAGACGUGGAUGAAUAGAUGUUUUACUGUACACUAAAAAACAAUCAUUUCCUCAGAGGAACUGCCUGAUAUCCUGCAGCAGGAGUUUUGCAACAAAUCUUUGAAAUGGAAGAAAAAGAGCUACUACUGAGUAACAUCUUUGGUGCAUUGUCAUCUCAUUUUGAAUCCUAAAAACUGUCAAAUACUGGAUUGGUGACUGUUUUGUAAGCUUUACCUCUGUUGCUUGUGGAUCCCUAAAGUAACUUGUUAAUAAGCCUGAUGACCGAAUCCCAAAAUUGUCUUAAAAGGACUCGUGGAUAUUCACAAUCUUCGUACAGGAGAAAGUAUGAUUAAACUCCCAAGGUCUAGUAGUGCAGCACUGGGAAUACAAGGUGAAAAAUUGAAGAAUUUGCCACAAAAGAUUUUAUAGAAUAUUCUGGGCUGAAAAAAUGGAUAUACAAUCGACUUUUUUAAAUAAGAUAAAUGUCUCAGUUGAUAAGUUCUAACCUGAGUCCUAAAUUAAAAAGCCAAGAGUGCAAUGUCCCAGUGGUUCUUGAUCAGGCACUCCCUGUGAUUAUAAAAAUGUGUAAAUGUGCUAUAAAGCAAGUCCCUCAUUUUUUCUAAUGAAGAACUAUGCCCGACAGGGUCCUUCAGAAAUGAAGAACUACACCCAACAGUGUAGUUCAGAAUCUUUCAGAUACUUUGGACACAAGAAUCAUUUCCUUACAAAGUCCAAGAGCAACAUGUUGCUGUAUGUGGUGAGCAGAGUCAUGUGAUACUCCGGUAGGAAACAUUCCUUCAAAACCCAUUUUGGAUGCAAUAGCAGGAAGUUGUUUUUCUCCCUUGCCAAACAAAAACUUUCACCCAGUCAGGUUUCUGAGUUAAUCAAACCACUUGGAAAAGUCAGUUACUCGCUACCAAGAGGAGUACUUUGUUUGGAAAACUAGAAAACUUGUUAUUUCCUCAUUUCAAUUCUUUUUUUGCCCGGGCAUUAUUGAAAUUUCUUAAUUCAUAUUUGCUGAUCACAUGCCAUCUAUUUGACUUUUUGCUAAACAUAUUUAUCCCUUAUUUUCUUCAUUAGGUGAGCUGGUUGUAAUUUCUAAGACUAGAAAAACAUGUGAAAUUUUGAUGUUUGAGGGUCUAGGAAGUCUUUAUGUUGAGCGAUGUUUUGCCUCUUUUCCAUAAUGAUUUAAGGAAGAGAUCAUGAAGAGGCACAUUGCUUGAGGUAUAAGAAAAUGGUUUGGCAAACUAAACCAUCUCAUAGAAAGGGAAUCUGGCAGCUUGUGGAAGGGCAGGCUCUUAACUGACCUAGUUGAAGAAUUGCAGUAUUGUCUUAGGGAUGGUGGUGGUGAUAUUAACCUCAGUAACAGAUGUUAGAAUCUGGUGAAAGAGCAAAUACCACUUUUUUUUUUUUUUGAGAGGAUUAGUUUAUUUUUUCUUAUCAACUCAAGUCUACCCAAAUAUGUCAGAUGGCUAGAUCUCAGGUAAGGGGUGUGUAUAGUGAUAAUAAAAACAGACUAUAAUAAUUUGGAGGUUUGUAUGUAUAUUAAUAUAAAUUUAUAAAAAUAUGUGAGUUAAUAUUUAUGAUUAUUGAAAUAUUCAGAAAGUUCUUUUCACUAGUACCAGAAGAAUUUUCAUAUUAUUGUGAAAUAUGAGGAAGGGCAGAUAAAAAAUACAAAGAAGGAGAAAGCAACUUGAUUCAGUUAAGCUUUUUUUGUAGGGGUGGACUCAAGGGAAACUUCUGACUUUUAAGUCAAAAAAAGGAAGCAAAUUUCAUUUAGUCAAAUAUAGAUGCUUUAUUAACUAUGUUCAGGUUGAGGGCAGUAGAGGAGAAGGCAAGACUGAGGGCUUAUGAGUAGAAAAGGCUUUGGAGUUGGGAAAAUUGAGUUCUAGUCCCUCCUUCAUGAAACAGUUCUAUUGAGAAAGAAAAAGAAAAGAAACUGCUAUUAAUUAUGCACCUAACUUCUAUCUAUGUCAGACCCUGUAUCAACUUUCAUCACAUCCCAGCCGUGUGACUUGUGACAAAUUAAUUUACUUCUCAAGCUUCAGUUUGCUUAGAUGAUAAUGACAGGGUUGGGUGAGAAUUAAAUGACAAUACUUGUAAAGCACUUAGAACAGUGUCUGGCACAAAGAAAGUAAGUGCACUGUAAAUAUUAGUCAUAAUUUUUAUUUUUAUGUCUUAUUUUCUAUCGUAUCAUGCUUGUAACUCACCUUUUGGAUUUGUUUCUUCAUCAAUAAAACCCAAGGCAAAGGAAGUUAGGUUAGUUGAUCUCUAAGAGCAUUUACAAAAUUUUGUGGUUGUUUAGUUAAAGAGAGUGAACAAGGCAAAGAGAAUAAAAUAAAGAGACUGAGUGGGAAAGAGACUGAAUAGAUUCUGGUUUGUAAAUGUAUCCAGUUAACAUGCUGCUUAUUUGGGGGCUAGGCUUCAAAGGAUUUUAACUUCCGUUUGAAAUCUUGUAAUUAGUUGAUUUCCAAUUGUUCAUAUAUCUGUAUUAUUUAAAAGAGAUUUUCUUGACCUUGAGUCAAAGAAGGUUGUAGAUAUGUUUAGAAGAUUUACGAACCUCCAGAAAGUGUACAGUAUGUACUGUAUGUGUUUUUUUCUGGAGAGAAGAUCUGUCUACCAUGAAGUUUUUAAAAGCGUCUGUGACUACCCCUUAAAACCUGAGAAUUACUGAUUUAAACCCUUCUACAUAUUCCAUCCUAUCCUCCUGCAUUUCUUUCUUAGCAUUUACGAUGGGACAAAAAUAUCUUCAUACUGUGACCAGUCAGAGAGUUCUGACCACACACCUCUUCCCCAGACCUCUUUGUCACCCAUUUUCCAAUUCUGUUCCUUUGAAGUUCAUAAUCACCCAGCCAAUCUAUUGGCCACUGCUUAUGAGUCAGUAUGGAUAUGUGCUUCUGAUCAUCUCCGCCUCCAGGUAAAAUGAACAACUAGGGCAUCGCUUGAAGUUUUGCCCACUGAAAGGGUUUCCCUUCAUCACAGUCCUUCAUGGUUCCUGAAAAAUGGCGCUGCCGAAGGGUCCCCUAGAGUAGGGAUGUAGUGCUGUAGCUGUCUACUUUCAGGUGAUGCCAGUAUAUUAUGCAGAACUAUCUAUAAACUAGACUAGAAUUUUUCUUCCUCUGUCAAGAAAGUCCCUAUGUAGCCAUGUUCGGGUUGAGAGAACAGAGGCAAUGCCGCAGGAGAAGGAGCCAUGCAAGUCUAAGUUGCUUGUGUUAUCUUAAUUUUACCUCCAGGUAAAUCUCGUAUAUAAAACUUCACCUGGAUGAUAGAGUGCUGCUAUGCACACACAACUUUAUUACUUGGUGGCUUAGACGUCUCCCAGUUCUUCGAGGGCAGAUCAAGUUGAAUGGUUACCUAGUGGCUCAUAGUCAGAUGUUCUGUCUUUAUUGGGGUGCAGUAGCGAGCCAGAAGCUAUCAAAAGAGAACACAUCUUCAGAUGAUGACUGAGCUUUGCUCCAAAAUUCUGAAGGUUUGCAAUGUGAUUCUAUAAAGAGUUGUCAAAGGCUUUGUACAGCAUUUCCAUCUGCUGCAACCACUUCAAACAGUUUUGGAUCUCCUGGGUUAUCAGGCUCCAGUGGCAGAUCAAUUUGUACGGCAGCUUGGACCUAUUACAGAGCAUUGUUUUGAUCUGGUCCUCAUUCAAAACUGAUAGGCUUUAGGUCUCUUAUUAAAUAAGCCAAAGCUGCACACUGCAAAUCCGAAGAACCCUUCACCUUGGAAAAUAUAUCUCAACAUACCUCCAGAACAUUGGACCCUAGACAUUUUACCAAAAUAGUAGGGCCUUGUGUUUUGAGGUGUUUGUUUCUCAUCUCUGGCAUGUAUGUAUCUAGUCAAGGUAUCUAGGAUAUCUGCUAUUUUUUUGCUCACCAGAUAAGAUCAGCAUGAUAUCAUCAAUGUAAAAGGCCAGCAUGAUAUAUCGUGGAAUAUAGAGGCUAUCAAGACCCCUGUGAACUAGAUUAUUACAUAAGGCUGGAGAGUUGAUACAGUUUUGCUGAUCUUGCCAGGUGAAAGCAAACUGCUUUUAGCAUCCUUUAUUAAAAGGCACAGCCAUAAAAGCAUUCACCACAUUAAUACCUUUUAACAAGGCAUGUGUUCAUUGCUUCAGUGAAAAAACCCACAACUGGAUUGGCAUCUGCAAUUGGAGUUACCAUAUGAUUAAGUUUAUGGUACUCCAUUGUCAUUUUGCAAGAUUCAACUGUCCUGUACAACCACUACAUCCUUUAGGUCCUUGGUGGAGGCCCUAAAUUUCGCAUUUCCUCCAAGAGUGUUAUAUUGCUUUUAGUUUAUUAUUUUGGAGGUAGAGCCAGUUCAACUUUAGCUUUCCUACUAUAAUAGUCCUCACUCCACAGGUCAGGAACCAAUAUAGAAAUACUACCAGAACUUGAGUAUUUUUCUUCUAACUUUGCAUUUUGGAAUCGGAAAAACAACCAUAGAAUAAAUUUGGGGACCCAGUAGGCUCACUGUGAAAUGGAACUGAGCCAAAACUACAUUAAUCACAUCUAUAAACUCCUUUGACUAGUGGACCAUAAUGAUAUUAUACAUCCCCAGGAAUGAGUAUCACUUUAGAACCAGUGUCCAUUAAUCUCUAGAAAGUGUAAUUUCCCUUCCAUAAUGCACAGUCACUCUGGUAAUAGCUGCAGGUCCCUUUGGAGAUGAGGAAGAGGAAGAGUUACAGGACUAGUUUCUAGCAGUGUUGCACAGUCCCUCCUCAAGAUCAGGCCUCUGUUUCAUUCGAAAGGCCCGAGGUCUGUGAACUGACUCGAUUCUAGAACCAGUGGAGGGGCUGUGGACUCUAUAUUGUGGUGAUUCAAGUGAAACAUCUAUUCACUAGACAUAAAAAAUAAGUUAAGAAUUUAGUAGGCUUCCAUUUUCCAAAUCUUUCUCAAGUUCUUCCUUUGGACUCUAACUGAGCUACUCAAGUAAUGGGAUUCUGGGAAAUGUAAUUCACCACCUUAGCCAAGUUGAAACAGCACAGUCCAGCAAGAGAUAAAUAAGUGUGCAUUUGAUUACAGUUUAAUGGGAUGUGCCUAUUCCCACAGCUUUGUGCAAAACACUGUGGUAGUACAGAAGAAGAAUUUAGGACUCCAGGGGAAUUAGACAAGGAUGGUUAGUGAGUGAUUUAUGAGCUGAAUUUUAGAAGGAGGAAAGGUGAUGGGGGCAAGAGGGGAACAUUUCAGGCAGCGUUUCAGAUAUUACUCAUUUGGCAAACUGCGAGUAGUUUACCACGACUGGAAGACGUGAUUUAAUGCAUGCAGGGUAGUUACAGGAGAUGAGGCUAGAUGUGACUUUUUAAAAACAAUCUUUAACCCAGAAAUUGUGCCUGUGUUUUAUAAAGAUAAUUUAGGCUUAUAAAUAAAUUAGGCUGAUAAAAAUUAACCUACAUUCAUCAAAAUAGAGACAUACAAUGAGAAUUUAAUUAUGUCCAUUAAAUUUGACCAAUGGAAAAUAUGGAGGCAAUAGCAAAUUGAUUUUCUCCUAAUUUACUUUAUUUUUGAGGUACUAAUAAGUAUUAAAAUAGCAAAUAAUCAUACAAGAGAAGAAACUUUCUUCAAAUUGGGGACGCAGACUAUGAAUAAUAAUAUGGAAUACAUAUAUUGCAAAAAUAAGGUAGUAUUAUCAUAACAAAACGUAUAAUUAUACAAAUUUAUAGUCGUUAUGGAUCAAAUUGUGUCCCAUAAAAAUUCACAUGUUGAAAUCCUAGCCAGAGUACUUCAGAAUGUAACCUUGGAGAUUAUUUCCUUAUGAAAAGGCAGACACACAUUGGAGACAGACAUGCAUAUAGACACCCUAAAAUAAAAGCAGAGAUCAGGAUGACACUUCUACAAGCCAAGGAAUGCCAAAGAUUGUCAAGAAUCACAAGGAGCUAGGAGAGAAGCAUGGAAGAGAUUCUUCUUCACAGCCCUCAGAAAGAACCAACCCUGCCAACAUGUUGAUCUUGGAACCCUAGCUUCUAGAACUACGAGACAAUAAACUUCUGUCGCUUAAGACACCCAGUCUGUGAUAUGUUACAGCACCCCUGGGAAAGUAACUCAAUAGUACUAAUUGAUUUUUUUAGAUAAACAUAAUAAAGAAAUAUUGUAAAAUUCCUGAUUA